AGACCCGAAACCCGGUGAUCUAGCCAUGGGCAGGUUGAAGGUUGGGUAACACUAACUGGAGGACCGAACCGACUAAUGUUGAAAAAUUAGCGGAUGACCUGUGGCUGGGGGUGAAAGGCCAAUCAAACCGGGAGAUAGCUGGUUCUCCCCGAAAGCUAUUUAGGUAGCGCCUCGUGAAUUCAUCUCCGGGGGUAGAGCACUGUUUCGGCUAGGGGGCCAUCCCGGCUUACCAACCCGAUGCAAACUGCGAAUACCGGAGAAUGUUAUCACGGGAGACACACGGCGGGUGCUAACGUCCGUCGUGAAGAGGGAAACAACCCAGACCGCCAGCUAAGGUCCCAAAGUCAUGGUUAAGUGGGAAACGAUGUGGGAAGGCCCAGACAGCCAGGAUGUUGGCUUAGAAGCAGCCAUCAUUUAAAGAAAGCGUAAUAGCUCACUGGUCGAGUCGGCCUGCGCGGAAGAUGUAACGGGGCUAAACCAUGCACCGAAGCUGCGGCAGCGACGCUGAUGCGUUGUUGGGUAGGGGAGCGUUCUGUAAGCCUGUGAAGGUGGCCUGUGAGGGUUGCUGGAGGUAUCAGAAGUGCGAAUGCUGACAUAAGUAACGAUAAAGCGGGUGAAAAGCCCGCUCGCCGGAAGACCAAGGGUUCCUGUCCAACGUUAAUCGGGGCAGGGUGAGUCGACCCCUAAGGCGAGGCCGAAAGGCGUAGUCGAUGGGAAACGGGUUAAUAUUCCCGUACUUGGUGUUACUGCGAAGGGGGGACGGAGAAGGCUAUGUUGGCCGGGCGACGGUUGUCCCGGUUUAAGCGUGUAGGUGUGUGUUCCAGGUAAAUCCGGUUCACUUUAACACUGAGGCGUGAUGACGAGGCACUACGGUGCUGAAGCAACAAAUGCCCUGCUUCCAGGAAAAGCCUCUAAGCAUCAGGUAACAUCAAAUCGUACCCCAAACCGACACAGGUGGUCAGGUAGAGAAUACCAAGGCGCUUGAGAGAACUCGGGUGAAGGAACUAGGCAAAAUGGUGCCGUAACUUCGGGAGAAGGCACGCUGACACGUAGGUGAAGUGAUUUACUCACGGAGCUGAAGUCAGUCGAAGAUACCAGCUGGCUGCAACUGUUUAUUAAAAACACAGCACUGUGCAAACACGAAAGUGGACGUAUACGGUGUGACGCCUGCCCGGUGCCGGAAGGUUAAUUGAUGGGGUCAGCGCAAGCGAAGCUCCUGAUCGAAGCCCCGGUAAACGGCGGCCGUAACUAUAACGGUCCUAAGGUAGCGAAAUUCCUUGUCGGGUAAGUUCCGACCUGCACGAAUGGCGUAAUGAUGGCCAGGCUGUCUCCACCCGAGACUCAGUGAAAUUGAACUCGCUGUGAAGAUGCAGUGUACCCGCGGCAAGACGGAAAGACCCCGUGAACCUUUACUAUAGCUUGACACUGAACAUUGAGCCUUGAUGUGUAG
rnacentral:rRNA from 1 species